rnacentral:rRNA from 1 species
CCCUUAGAUGUUCUGGGCCGCACGCGCGCUACACUGAUGCAUUCAACGAGUCUAAAACCUGCUCUGAUAGGGGUGGGUAAUCUUUUGAAUGUGCAUCGUGAUUGGGAUAGAUGAUUGCAAUUUUUCAUCUUCAACGAGGAAUGCCUAGUAAACGCAAGUCAUCAGCUUGCAUUGAUUACGUCCCUGCCCUUUGUACACACCGCCCGUCGCUACUACCGAUUGAAUGGUUUAGUGAGGACUCCUGAUUGGCGCCGCCGCCCCGGCAACGGAGCAGUGGACUGCCGAAAAGUUGUUCAAACUUGAUCAUUUAGAGGAAGUAAAAGUCGUAACA